CGGGGCAACCUGGCGGCGAGCGGCGAACGGGUGAGUAAUGCAUCGGAACAUGUCCAUGUCGUGGGGGAUAGCCCGGCGAAAGCCGGAUUAAUACCGCAUACGUCCGAGAGGAGAAAGUGGGGGACCCGCAAGGGCCUCACGCGAUUGGGUUGGCCGAUGUCCGAUUAGCUAGUUGGUGGGGUAAGAGCCCACCAAGGCGAUGAUCGGUAGCUGGUCUGAGAGGAUGAUCAGCCACACUGGGACUGAGACACGGCCCAGACUCCUACGGGAGGCAGCAGUGGGGAAUUUUGGACAAUGGGGGAAACCCUGAUCCAGCCAUUCCGCGUGAGUGAAGAAGGCCUUCGGGUUGUAAAGCUCUUUUGUCCGGAACGAAACGGUUGUGGUGAAUAGCCACGACUACUGACGGUACCGGAAGAAUAAGCACCGGCUAACUACGUGCCAGCAGCCGCGGUAAUACGUAGGGUGCGAGCGUUAAUCGGAAUUACUGGGCGUAAAGCGUGCGCAGGCGGUUUUGUAAGCCAGAUGUGAAAUCCCCGGGCUCAACCUGGGAAUGGCAUUUGGGACUGCAAGGCUUGAGUGCGGCAGAGGAGACUGGAAUUCCUGGUGUAGCAGUGAAAUGCGUAGAUAUCAGGAGGAAUACCGAUGGCGAAGGCAGGUCUCUGGGCUGACACUGACGCUCAUGCACGAAAGCGUGGGGAGCAAACAGGAUUAGAUACCCUGGUAGUCCACGCCCUAAACGAUGUCGACUGGUUGUUGGGGGUUUGACACUCUCAGUAACGAAGCUAACGCGUGAAGUCGACC
rnacentral:rRNA from 1 species